GUGGGGAAUAUUGGACAAUGGGCGAAAGCCUGAUCCAGCCAUGCCGCGUGUGUGAAGAAGGUCUUCGGAUUGUAAAGCACUUUAAGUUGGGAGGAAGGGCAGUAAGUUAAUACCUUGCUGUUUUGACGUUACCGACAGAAUAAGCACCGGCUAACUUCGUGCCAGCAGCCGCGGUAAUACGAAGGGUGCAAGCGUUAAUCGGAAUUACUGGGCGUAAAGCGCACGUAGGUGGUUUUGUAAGUUGGAGGUGAAAUCCCCGGGCUCAACCUGGGAACUGCCUCCAAAACUGCAUGACUAGAGUACGGUAGAGGGUAGUGGAAUUUCCUGUGUAGCGGUGAAAUGCGUAGAUAUAGGAAGGAACACCAGUGGCGAAGGCGACUACCUGGACUGAUACUGACACUGAGGUGCGAAAGCGUGGGGAGCAAACAGGAUUAGAAACCCGUGUAGUCC
rnacentral:rRNA from 1 species